rnacentral:rRNA from 1 species
UGAGGAAUAUUGCGCAAUGGGCGAAAGCCAGACGCAGCAACGCCGCGUGGGCGAUGAAGGUCUUCGGAUCGUAAAGCCCUUUUCUUGAGGAAGAGGAAGGACAGUACUCUUGGAAUAAGUCUCGGCUAACUACGUGCCAGCAGCCGCGGUAAAACGUAGGAGGCUAGCGUUAUCCGGAUUUAUUGGGCGUAAAGCGCGUGUAGGCGGUGCUCUAAGUUGGAUGUAAAAUCUCCCGGCCUAACUGGGAGGAGCCAUUCAAUACUGGGGCACUUGAGGGCAGGACAAGGAAGCGGAAUUCCCGGUGUAGCGGUGGAAUGCGUAGAUAUCGGGAGGAACACCAGUGGCGAAAGCGGUUUCCGGGUCUGUUCCUGACGCUGAGACGCGAAAGCUAGGGGAGCAAACGGG